rnacentral:misc_RNA from 1 species
CCGAGUUUACAACUCCCAAACCCCCGUGAACAUACCUAUACGUUGCCUCGGCGGAUCAGCCCGCGCCCCGUAAAAAGGGACGGCCCGCCCGAGGACCCCUAAACUCUGUUUUUAGUGGAACUUCUGAGUAAAACAAACAAAUAAAUCA